GAUGAACGCUAGCUACAGGCUUAACACAUGCAAGUCGAGGGGAAACGAUAUUGGAAGCUUGCUUCCGAUAGGCGUCGACCGGCGCACGGGUGAGUAACGCGUAUCCAACCUGCCCACCACUUGGGGAUAACCUUGCGAAAGUAAGACUAAUACCCAAUGAUAUCUCUAGAAGACAUCUGAAGGAGAUUAAAGAUUCAUCGGUGAUGGAUGGGGAUGCGUCCGAUUGGCUUGUUGGCGGGGUAACGGCCCACCAAGGCGACGAUCAGCAGGGGGUCGGAGAGGAAGGUCCCCCACAUUGGAACUGACACACGGGCCAAACUCCUACGGGAGGCAGCAGUGAGGAAUAUUGGGCAAUGGGCGAGAGCCUGAAGCAGCCAAGUAGCGUGCAGGAUGACGGCCCUAUGGGUUGUAAACUGCUUUUAUAAGGGAAUAAAGUGAGUCUCGUGAGACUUUUUGCAUGUACCUUAUGAAUAAGGACCGGCUAAUUCCGUGCCAGCCGCCGCGGUAA
rnacentral:rRNA from 1 species